GUAAUACCGGAUGAGACCACGAGCUGGCAUCAGCUCGUGCUCAAAGGUUCGCCGCUCUGGGAUGAGGCGAUGUGGUAUCAGGUAGUUGGUAGGGUAACGGCCUACCAAGCCUUCGACGCCUAGCCGGACUGAGAGGCCGGCCGGACACAUCGGGACUGAGACACUGCCCGGACUCCUACGGGGGGCUGCAGUAAUGAAUCUUCCGCAAUGCACGAAAGUGUGACGGAGCGACGCCGAGUGAAGGAUGAAGUCCCUCGGGAUGUAAACUUCUAAAACCUGUUAGAAAGUUCUGAUCGACAGGCUAUAAGUGGCGACUAACUCUGUGCCAGCAGUCGCGGUAAUACAGAGGCCACGAGCGUUAGGCGGAAUCACUGGGCUUAAAGCGUGUGUAGGCGGAUGGCUAAGUACCUUGUGAAAUCCCACGGCUCAACCGUGGAACUGCUCGGUAUACUGUUCGUCUUGAGGCACUCAGGGGCGAGCGGAACAGAUGGUGGAGCGGUGAAAUGCGUAGAUAUCAUCUGGAACGCCAAUGGUGAAGACAGCUCGCUGGGGGUGUACUGACACUGAGACACGAAAGCCAGGGGAGCGAACG
rnacentral:rRNA from 1 species